GACAGAGGCCUCAAGCGUUAGGCGGAAUCACUGGGCUUAAAGCGUGUGUAGGCGGAUCGUUAAGUGUCUUGUGAAAUCCCACGGCUCACCCGUGGAACUGCUGGGCAUACUGGCGAUCUUGGGCCAACUAGGGGCAACUGGAACAAGCGGUGGAGCGGUGAAAUGCGUAGAUAUCGCUUGGAACGCCAAGGAGGUGAAAACAGGUUGCUGGGGUUGUGCCGACGCUGAGACACGAAAGCCAGGGGAGCAAACGGG
rnacentral:rRNA from 1 species